rnacentral:rRNA from 1 species
UACGUAGGGUGCAAGCGUUGUCCGGAAUUAUUGGGCGUAAAGAGCUCGUAGGCGGCUUGUCGCGUCUGCUGUGAAAACUCGGGGCUUAACCCCGAGCCUGCAGUGGAUACGGGCAGACUAGAGGUAGGUAGGGGAGAAUGGAAUUCCCGGUGUAGCGGUGAAAUGCGCAGAUAUCGGGAGGAACACCGGUGGCGAAGGCGGUUCUCUGGGCCUUACCUGACGCUGAGGAGCGAAAGCGUGGGGAGCGAACAGG